UGGCAACAAGUCUGGCUGAGAAAACCUGGUGCUCCCAAGAAUCAGGAAUAUAUUUUUUUCAAGUAGGUGUUCUAAUGUUGUGACAUUAACUUAUUUUGACAAAGCUGAUAGUGAGAAACCAGUCCUGUUCUUAUCCCUCCCCUCUUGGAGAACCAUUCAGCUUUACUUUCUCUCUCCUAGAAAGGAAACAGUGUCCCUUCUCAAGAGAGUCCCUGAACUCCAAGGAGCAAAUUUUCAAAGACAUAAGUGGCUGCUGAAAAAAUGUAGUGGUAAGAAGAGAAGGAAAAGCACUAGUCUGGGAACAAUGAUCCUGCUCCAUUGGACCAAGUGCUACAAGUCAUUUCAGGUGACCAGACUGGACUGGAGUUCUUUCUCCCACCCUGGACCUUCCAUAUAGAAACCUCACUUGCCUCGUCUCCAACAAACCUCAACAACCCUUGAGGAUGCCUGCCACAGAUGUGGGUGAAACGUCAGGAGAGAAUGCUUCUGAAACAUAUGGCCACACAGACAGGAAAACUCACAGCAACCCAGUGAUUCCGGCCAUGAAAGCCUUCGACAAUUCUGCAACAUCACAUCUGCCUUCGACAGCAUGUUAAUUUUUUAUUGAUCCCCAUUGAUGUUUAAUCCUCUUUUUUAAUGUUUGUACAUUUUUGGAUUUCAAAUAGUAAUGAAAUGCUUUUCCUGUAAGGCGCUUCGAGCCCCUUUUGUGGAGAGAAGAAGUGGGGUAUAAAUAAUAAACAUAGUACAAAUGAUAAAACUUUGGAAGGGCUGCAUGUUGUUUCCAGCGUUUCAGGCACAAGAAUAUCCUGAGACACUUACUUUGGCAAGGAGAAUGGGCUCACGUA